UCCUUGCAGCCACAUGUUUUGUGCAAUGAAAAUGGUAGGUUUACAAAAGUUGCCAGAUAGUCUUCUUUUGAAAAGAUGGUCAAAGGAUGCCAAGAAGUAUCUGGAUGAAAGUUCUGCUGGAGGCACUAUGCAAGACAAAGAAAGAAAAUUUUUAAUGCGCUAUAGCGCAUUGUCAGUAGCAGCUACGUGGAUGGUAUUCUUAGGAGCUCAAGAUGGUCCUUCUUUCCAUGACACUAUGAAUGAAGUCUGUCGUUGGACCCAAACACUAGAACAAAAAUCUGGCUUGAAAAGACAAACAAGAGAUUCUCCCACGCCAAACUUCGUUGGUGACCCUUCGGUGGUCAAGACAAAAGGAGCACCCAAGGGGAAAAAGGAGAGGGGUAAACGGAGGUGCACUAAAUGCAACAGUGCUGGUCAUGUAAAGAAUAAAUGUCCUGUGAGCAAUGACGGUGACGAUUUGAGGGAUAAGACUGGUAGUGGCGAGUAAGCUAGCUUUGGUACUGAGGAGGUCAGUAAGAUGCAAUAUUGCAUUAGUUGUUACUUGAAUUAAAAUAAACUGGUAACCUCUAUGUUGUAGUUAUUCUUGAUAGAAUUUUUGACUCCAUGUAUUAUUUUUUCAUAGGAGCUUCCCAAGGAUCCUAUGGCUUCUCAAGAGACAUUAGCAGUGCCAAAUACAGAAGUAAAUGCACUUGUACAACAAGAGUUUGGGCUAGGUGAUUUAGGAUUGAUUAAUGGCCAUGAGACUCCCAUCCCACCGUAUGGAAGUCAUCAGUGGCUACUACAGGUUGUACAACAAGUACAUUAUUCAAAGUUCAAUGGGAUGCAGUAGCAUGUACUUGUAUAUACUCAUGAGAGUAUGGUUUAAGAUGUUAGUUAAAUUCUUGGAUUUCAAAUAGUAGUUCUUUGAGGUUGAUAUAAAUUUUUAAUAAUUAAAUUUUUAGAUAUUUAUCAUAACUUGUCAUCAUUACACUCUGCUGAAAUGUGCAGAAGGAUUCAAUAGUUUUGAUUUAUAUAGUUAAAAUCUUAUUGAUUCUUAUUCAUGCUAAAA